rnacentral:rRNA from 1 species
GGUGGCGACCGGCGCACGGGUGCGUAACGCGUAUGUAACCUACCUAUAACAGGGGCAUAACACUGAGAAAUUGGUACUAAUUCCCCAUAAUAUUCGGAGAGGCAUCUCUCCGGGUUGAAAACUCCGGUGGUUAUAGAUGGACAUGCGUUGUAUUAGCUAGUUGGUGAGGUAACGGCUCACCAAGGCAACGAUACAUAGGGGGACUGAGAGGUUAACCCCCCCACAUUGGAACUGAGACACGGUCCAAACUCCUACGGGAGGCAGCAUG